UACGGAGGGAGCUAGCGUUGUUCGGAAUUACUGGGCGUAAAGCGCACGUAGGCGGCUUUGCAAGUUAGAGGUGAAAGCCCGGGGCUCAACUCCGGAAUUGCCUUUAAAACUGCAUCGCUAGAGUUGUGGAGAGGUAAGUGGAAUUCCGAGUGUAGAGGUGAAAUUCGUAGAUAUUCGGAAGAACACCAGUGGCGAAGGCGACUUACUGGACACAUACUGACGCUGAGGUGCGAAAGCGUGGGGAGCAAACGGG
rnacentral:rRNA from 1 species